rnacentral:rRNA from 1 species
CCUACGGGAGGCAGCAGUGGGGAAUAUUGGGCAAUGGGCGAAAGCCUGACCCAGCAACGCCGCGUGAAGGAAGAAGGCUUUCGGGUUGUAAACUUCUUUUGACAGGGAAGAGCAGAAGACGGUACCUGUCGCAUCAGCCACGGCUAACUACGUGCCAGCAGCCGCGGUAAUACGUAGGUGGCAAGCGUUGUCCGGAUUUACUGGGUGUAAAGGGCGUGUAGCCGGGCUGACAAGUCAGAUGUGAAAUCCGGGGGCUCAACCCCCGAACUGCAUUUGAAACUGUUGGUCUUGAGUAUCGGAGAGGCAGGCGGAAUUCCUAGUGUAGCGGUGAAAUGCGUAGAUAUUAGGAGGAACACCAGUGGCGAAGGCGGCCUGCUGGAAGACAACUGACGGUGAGGCGCGAAAGCGUGGGGAGCAAACAGGAUUAAAUACCCCUGGUAGUC